rnacentral:rRNA from 1 species
AUGAACGCUAGCGACAGGCCUAACACAUGCAAGUCGAGGGGCGAGCACAAGGAGCAAUCUGAGGUGGCGACCGGCGCACGGGUGAGUAACACGUAUGCAACCUGCCUGUAAGCGGGGAAGUAACCCGUUGAAAGAACGGACUAAUACCGCAUAAUACUAAAUUACUGCAUGGUAAUUUAUUUAAACAUUUAUGGCUUACAGAUGGGCAUGCGCAUGAUUAGCUAGUUGGAGAGGUAACGGCUCCCCAACGGCAACGAUCAUUAGGGGUUCGUGAGAGGAAGGUCCCCCACCACUGGUACUGAGACACGGACCAGACUCCUACGGGAGGCAGCAGUGAGGAAUAUUGGUCAAUGGACGAGAGUCUGAACCAGCCAAGUCGCGUGCAGGAAGAAUGUCCCUAUGGAUUGUAAACUGCUUUUGCAGGGGAAUAAAGUGCAUCACGUGUGAUGUUUUGUAUGUACUCUGCGAAUAAGGAUCGGCUAACUCCGUGCCAGCCGCAGC